AGUGAACGCUGGCGGCGUGCCUAAUACAUGCAAGUCGAACGGAGUGGCGCACGGGUGAGUAAUGUCUAGCUAAUCUGCCCUACACUAGAGGACAACAGUUGGAAACGACUGCUACUACUCUAUAGUUGAGGAGGAGGCUAUAUUGUAUCAGCUAGUUGGUGAGGUAAUGGCUCACCAAGGCUAUGACGCAUACCUGGUCUGAGAGGAUGAUCAGUUACACGGGAAGGGAGGAACGGUCCAGACUCCUACGGGAGGGAGCAGUAGGGAAUAUUGCGCAAUGGGGGAAACGCUGAAGCAGCAACGCCGCGUGGAGGAUGACACGUUGCGGAGCGUAAACUCCUUUUGUUAGGGAAGCGGUACCUAACGAAUAAGCACCGGCUAACUCCGUGCCAGCAGCCGCGGUAAUUC
rnacentral:rRNA from 1 species